UACAGAGGUCUCAAGCGUUGUUCGGAUUCAUUGGGCGUAAAGGGUGUGUAGGUGGCGCGCUAAGUCGGGUGUGAAAUUUCGGAGCUUAACUCCGAAACUGCAUUCGAUACUGCCGUGCUUGAGGACUGGAGAGGAGACUGGAAUUUACGGUGUAGCAGUGAAAUGCGCAGAUAUCGUAAGGAAGACCAGUGGCGAAGGCGGGUCUCUGGACAGUUCCUGACACUGAGGCACGAAGGCCAGGGGAGCAAACGGG
rnacentral:rRNA from 1 species